rnacentral:rRNA from 1 species
AUUGAACGCUGGCGGCAUGCCUAAUACAUGCAAGUCGAGCGGAGCGGCGGAAGGGUGAUUACUGCCUAGUAAUCUGCAUGGUAGUGGGGGAUAACGUCCGGAAACGGGACCUAAUCCCGCAGACUAUCAGGUGGCCUUAGGUCGGAUUAGCUAGUUGGUGGGGUAAAGGCGUACCAAGGCAACGAUCCGUAACUGGUCUGAGAGGAUGAUUGGUCACACUGGAACUGAGACACGGUCCAGACUCCUACGGGAGGCAGCAGUGGGGAAUAUUGGACAAGGGGCGAAAGCCUGACCGAGCAAUGCCGCGUGUGUGAAGAAGGUCUUCGGAUUGUAAAGCACUGUAAGUUGGGAGGCGUUAUCAACAGAAUAAGCACCGGCUAACUUCGUGCCAGCAGCCGCGGUAAUAC